GGGAGCUGUCGUUGACACUCCUAAAUUAACCUAACUUUCACUCCACAAUUUACAAUAAUUAGCACAGUAGCAAGUAAGGAUCGAUCCCACAGAGAGUAAAGUUGUUUUAGAAUUAUUCUACUAUUUUAACAGAAAAUAAAGAUGGGGGUUUUGAAAAUUAUUUUUUAAACUAAGAGAACAAGAAUUAACGAUAAAAUUAACCAAAUAUGUAAAACUUCAGUUCUGCAGUUCAGUUUCACCAAGUACAACAAUCAAUUAAUCAAGUAAUUAUUAUUUUUCCUUCAAUGAAAUUAUUAGCCCUAGAUAACAAUAAGCUCUGCUAUCCGAAAUUCUCUUUAGAUUAUCACUGUAUGAAACAAGCUCUCCACCAGAUUCUAACUAGCAUAUAACCUAGAAUAAGCUCUCUAGAUUUAAUAUGAUAGAAGCAUUAAGAAAUAGAAAAUUAGGCUAAUCCAAGCAACAAACACAUAAGCUCGAUUUAUUUAACUUGUUUUCUAAUAAUCUUAGCAAUAAACAAAAGUUUGUCCACAAUUAUUAUUACCAAGUUGCUACUUGUGAUGAAGAGAGAUAUCAAUUACACGUAAUACCAAUCUUAAUCUAGCAUAUGAUAAUGAUCAAAUUAACUCAAUUGGCCAUAUUAAAUUAAUUAGAUCAAUUAGCAUGCAAUCAAUGAAAACAGAUUAUCAGAAGAAAUUUCACACAAGAAGGAAUAAAUAAUAAUACUCAAUUAAUUAAUUACUUGUAACAAGGAUUCACCUCCCUUUAGAACUGAAUAAAAAGAACUAGCCUGACAUGCUCUUGAGCCUUCACUCCA
rnacentral:lncRNA from 1 species